GAGGAGGAUGCGUUCCACCCGGAUCCAGGCAGGUGCGCCUAAUCGGGAAAGACUUGCUGAUGGGAGCCGCCACUCACCAAUAAAGAGCUCUCCCGUCCUCCUUCAGCUCGGUCUGUGAACCCUCUGCACUUCCUGUCCCGAGGCCCGGCGAGCCCUUUACACGCACCGGGCUGUAUCCGACGGUAACGGCAGAAUUACUCCAAUUACAAGCCUCCUCUACACCCGGGCCCCUUUCCCUCACCCUAGCGAGAUGGCGGCGCACCUCCAGGAGCCAAUCGCGCGCCUCCGUGC